rnacentral:rRNA from 1 species
UGAGUUUGAUGAUGGCUCUGAUUGAACGCUGUCCAAGUACUUGACACAUGCUAAUCGAACGAUUUUAUUCUUAUAGAGUAAAAUAGUGGUGUACAGGUGAGUAAAAGAUAAUUUGGCUACCUUAAAGUAAGGGUAAAUCCCUUAUAAAAAAAAAAGGAAAAUCAGAAUUUCUGCUUUAAGAUGUUAUUUUUUAUCUCGGUGUGGUAGUAGUAAAGGUAAUGACUUUACUAGCUAACAUUCGUAGUCGUGACUGAGAGGUCGAUCGACCACAUUGGGUCUGAAAAAACCCCAAUGCGUAUUAGUACAGCAGUGAGGGAUAUUGGUCAAUGGUCUAACGACUGAACCAGUAACUUGGAAGAAUGUAAUUAUAUUAUUUAUAAUAAUAUAGCAACGAUUAAUUCGUAUAAAAUUCUAAAUAGAAUAAUGAUAAUGACAAUUUUCUAUUUAUAAGUCUUGACCAAAUUACGUGCCAGCAGUCGCGGUAAUACGUAGAAGACUAGUGUUAGUCAUCUUUAUUAGGUUUAAAGGGUACCUAGACGGUAAAUAACACUUUAAUAGAGUACUUAUUUACUAGAGUUUUAUAAGAGAAGGAAGAACUUCUGGAGUAGUGAUAAAAUACUUUGAUACCAGAGGGACUGGUUACGGCGAAGGCGUCCUUCUAUGUAAAAACUGACGUUGAGGGACGAAGGCUUGGGGAUCAAUAAGGAUUAGAUACCCUAGUAGUCCAAGCAGAAAAUGAUGAGUGUCAUAGGCUAGAUACAGAAUUUGGCCUAUAAAUGAAAGUGUAAGCACUCCACCUCAAGAGUACUAUGGCAACAUAUAAACUGAAAUCAUUAGACCGUUUCUGAAACCAGUAGUGAAGUAUGUUAUUUAAUUCGAUAAUCCGCGAAUAACCUUACCACAACUUGAAUAAUAUUAAUUUAUUACAAGCGCUGCACGGCUGUCUUUAGUUAAUGUCGUGAGAUCUGGUUAACUCCUAAAAUUAACGAAAACCCUCAUUUUAUUUUUAUACAUAAAGUGGUUCUCCAGUAUAGUGGAUAGAUAAAAGGGAUUAAGACAAGUCAUCAUGGCCUAAAUGUUGUGGGCUAUAGACGUGCCACAUACGCCUUUACAAAGGGAUGCAAUAUUGUGAAAUGGAGCUAAUCCCCAAAAAAGGAUAUAAUAUGGAUUGUUGUCUGUAAUUCGACAGCAUGAAUAAGGAAUUACUAGUAAUCGUGAAUCACCAGCGUCACGGUGAAUUUAAUCUCAGCUAGGUACUAACCACUCGUCAGGCGCUGAAAGAAGUAUGUGCAAUAAGUUUGGUUUACAUAUAUAUUAAUAUAUAUAAUUUGUUAUAUAAAUAUAUAUGUAUAAUUUUCGUAUGCAUGACUUUAAUUGGUGUUAAGUCGAAAUAUGGUUCGUGUAAUGGAAAUUGCACGGG